UAUAUCGUAGGAGCCAUAUUAUUGUGCAA
rnacentral:sRNA from 1 species